GAUGAACGCUGGCGGCGUGCCUAAUACAUGCAAGUCGAGCGAAGCGGGGACGGGUGAGUAACACGUGGAUAACCUCCUAUAAGACUGGGAUAACUUCGUGAAACCGGUGCUAAACCCGCUGCUUAACGAUUGAUCCGCGUUGCAUUAGCUAGUUGGUAAGCUAACGGCUUACCAAGGCAACGAUCGAUAGCCGACCUGAGAGGGUGAUCGGCCACACUGGAACUGAGACACGGUCCAGACUCCUACGGGAGGCAGCAGUAGGGAAUCUUGCGAAAUGGGCGCAAGCCUGACGCAGCAACGCCGCGUGAGUGAAGAAGGUCUUAGGAUCGUAAAACUCUGUUAGUAGGGAAGCGGUACCGAAUCAGAAAGCCACGGCUAACUACGUGCCAGCAGCCGCGGUAAUAC
rnacentral:rRNA from 1 species